rfam:Triticum aestivum genome assembly, contig: Triticum_aestivum_CS42_TGACv1_scaffold_221233_3B
AAAGUACUCCUACCGUCUGAAAAAGCUUGUCCAUCAAAUGGAUGUAUCUAGCACUACCUAGUGCUAGAUACAUCCAUAGUGCUAGAUACAUCCAUUUGAGGGACAAACUUAGGACAAGUUUUUUCGGACGGAGGGAGUAUGUG